AGUGAACGCUGGCGGUAGGCCUAACACAUGCAAGUCGAACGGACGCACAGUAAGCGCUUGCCCUUACGGGUGGCGAGUGGCGGACGGGUGAGGAAUACAUCGGAAUCUACUUUUUCGUGGGGGAUAACGUAGGGAAACUUACGCUAAUACCGCAUACGACCUACGGGAGAAAGCAGGGGAUCUUCGGACCUUGCGCGAUUGAAUGAGCCGAUGUCGGAUUAGCUAGUUGGCAGGGUAAAGGCCCACCAAGGCGACGCUCCGUAGCUGGUCUGAGAGGAUGAUCAGCCACACUGGAACUGAGACACGGUCCAGACUCCUACGGGAGGCAGCAGUGGGGAAUAUUGGACAAUGGGCGCAAGCCUGAUCCAGCCACACCGCGUGAGUGAAGAAGGCCUUCGGGUUGUAAAGCCCUUUUGUUGGGAAAGAAAAGCAGCAGGUUAAUACCCCGCUGUUCUGACGGUACCCAAAGAAUAAGCACCGGCUAACUUCGUG
rnacentral:rRNA from 1 species